GACAAUCUUCGUCAAGCGCAGCGUCGCAAAGAUCUUUGAAUUUCUGAAUGCUUGCAACGCCCCCUUCUUUGCUGGGUAGC
rnacentral:rRNA from 16 species